GAUGAACGCUGGCGGCGUGCCUAACACAUGCAAGUCGAGCGAUUUACUUCGGUAAAGAGCGGCGGACGGGUGAGUAACGCGUGGGUAACCUGCCCUGUACACACGGAUAACAUACCGAAAGGUAUGCUAAUACGAGAUAAUAUACUUUUAUCGCAUGGUAGAAGUAUCAAAGCUUUUGCGGUACAGGAUGGACCCGCGUCUGAUUAGCUAGUUGGUAAGGUAACGGCUUACCAAGGCGACGAUCAGUAGCCGACCUGAGAGGGUGAUCGGCCACAUUGGAACUGAGACACGGUCCAAACUCCUACGGGAGGCAGCAGUGGGGAAUAUUGCACAAUGGGCGAAAGCCUGAUGCAGCAACGCCGCGUGAGCGAUGAAGGCCUUCGGGUCGUAAAGCUCUGUCCUCAAGGAAGAUAAUGACGGUACUUGAGGAGGAAGCCCCGGCUAACUAUGUGCCAGCCGCCGCGGUAA
rnacentral:rRNA from 1 species